rnacentral:rRNA from 1 species
GACGAACGCUGGCGGCGUGCUUAACACAUGCAAGUCGAACGAAGUGGCGAACGGGUGAGUAACGCGUAAUCAACCUGCCCUUCAGAGGGGGACAACAGUUGGAAACGACUGCUAAUACCGCAUACUGAAGGGGGGGAUUGCGUCUGAUUGGCUGGUUGGGGGGGUAACGGCCCACCAAGGCGAAGAUCAGUAGCCGGGCUGGGAGGAUGAACGGCCAAAUUGGGACUGGGAAACGGCCCAGACUCCUACGGGAGGCAGCAGGGGGGAAACGUCCGCAAUGGACGAAAGGCUGACGGAGCAACGCCGGGGGAGUGAUGACGGCCUUCGGGUUGGAAAGCUCUGUUAAUCGGGACGCGGUACCGGAAUAGAAAGCAACGGCUAACUACGUGCCAGCCGCCGCGGUAAUUC